rnacentral:rRNA from 1 species
AGUCGAACGGGGGUAGCAAUACCCUAGUGGCGGACGGGUGAGGAACACGUAGGAAUCUGCCCUUGAGUGGGGGAUAACCCGGGGAAACCCGGACUAAUACCGCAUGAUCUUUUUGGAGCAAAGAGGGGGACCGCAAGGCCUCUCGCUCUUGGAGGAGCCUACGUCUGAUUAGCUAGUUGGUAGGGUAAAGGCCUACCAAGGCGACGAUCAGUAACUGGUCUGAGAGGAUGAUCAGUCACACCGGAACUGAGACACGGUCCGGACUCCUACGGGAGGCAGCAGUGGGGAAUAUUGGACAAUGGGCGCAAGCCUGAUCCAGCAAUGCCGCGUGUGUGAAGAAGGCCUUCGGGUUGUAAAGCACUUUAGCCUGGAAAGAAAACGCUUUGGCUAACAUCCAAAGUCUUGACGGUACCAGG